rnacentral:tRNA from 1 species
UCCUCGCCGUGGGGGACGGAGUGGUCCCCGCCGUAGGGGGCGGCGGAGUGUUCCCCGCCGUACGGGGCGGCGGGCAUGUGACC